rnacentral:rRNA from 1 species
AGUAAAAGUCGUAACAAGGUUUCCGUAGGUGAACCUGCGGAAGGAUCAUUACAGAGUUCAUGCCCGAAAGGGUAGACCUCCCACCCUUGUGUAUUAUUACUUUGUUGCUUUGGCGAGCUGCCUUCGGGCCUUGUAUGCUCGCCAGAGAAUACCAAAACUCUUUUUAUUAAUGUCGUCUGAGUACUAUAUAAUAGUUAAAACUUUCAACAACGGAUCUCUUGGUUCUGGCAUCGAUGAAGAACGCAGCGAAAUGCGAUAAGUAAUGUGAAUUGCAGAAUUCAGUGAAUCAUCGAAUCUUUGAACGCACAUUGCGCCCCUUGGUAUUCCGAGGGGCAUGCCUGUUCGAGCGUCAUUACACCACUCAAGCUAUGCUUGGUAUUGGGCGUCGUCCUUAGUUGGGCGCGCCUUAAAGGCCUCGGCGAGGCCACUCCGGCUUUAGGCGUAGUAGAAUUUAUUCGAACGUCUGUCAAAGGAGAGGAACUCUGCCGACUGAAACCUUUAUUUUUCUAGGUUGACCUCGGAUCAGGUAGGGAUACCCGCUGAACUUAAGCAUAUCAAUAAGCGGAGGA